AUGGAUGUUGAAAUAUUAAAUUAUUUAAAUCACCUAAACUAAGUGUGCAGCUAUUGGGAAGGUAUAUAUUGCAUAUAGUAACAGUGAAAGGAAAUUUAAUUUUAAUUAUAACUGCUUCUAAGUUAGUGUUUAUAUCAAUUAAUUCUGGAAAAGUAUACGAUUUGAUAAAUAUUGCAACGCCGCCACUAGCCCUAUUACUUUGUAAACGGUUUUUAAAAAAGUGUACAUACCCAUUAAUAGAAGCACAGUAAUUUGAAGUAAAGUUUGUUUCCUGUAAACAUAUGCAUGUUGGACUUAAACGAUUAAUCAAUAGUUUAAUAUUCUCCAAUCUUUUAAAGUAACCAUUUACA